AAACGUCAGAAACACUAAAUUUUACGGAAGAAGUGGCAGAAGGAAGCUGCCCCCAGGCUUUUUUUAAAAAUUGAAAAUGGGCGUGGCGCCGCCCACUUAUGGACCAAGAAGCAUAUCUCAGGAGCUACUAGACCGAUUUCAAUGAAAUUCGGUAUAUAAUGUUUUCUUAACACCCUGAUGACAUGUACGAAAUAUGGCUGAAAUCGGUUCACAACCACGCCUUCUUCCAAUAUAAAGCUAUUUUGAAUUCCAUCUGAUGCCUUCUUUGUAUAAUACGAGUAUAAACAUUAGGAACCAAUGAUGAUAGCGGAAUAAAACUUUACACAAAUACGGUAUUUGAAAAAUAUGUAAAUGACGGAUAAUGAAAUCUCGAUUAUCACUUUACGAUGCGAGAGUAUAAAAUGUUCGGUGACACCCGAACUUAGCCCUUCCUUACUUGUUUUCUAUAAAAACGAUGUCCCUCACCGGGAUUUGCGGUUCAAGUGCUGGACAAUACUUUACAACAUAAAAAAUUGAAAAGACAUCACUUGCUAGACCUCCCCUUUCGAUUCAAUUAAUGUAUAAAAUUUAUUUUAUUUUAUUUAAUUUUACACAAUCCGAAUACGUGGACUCCAGUGCGUAUGACUGACUUUUUGCCGAAAAUCUCGAUCUAUCAGUGAGAUAUGUUAUUGAAAUUCGGGAAAAAUGUUUAUUUGAUAGUAAUAUAAGCUUGAGUCAAAAAUGGGCUGCAACUGGUCAAUAAUUUCCUUAUAAAGAUUUUCCAAUAUAAAUAUUUUCGAACUACGACACUACAAAUAUCGACGAAUGUGCGAGUUAUUUAAUGAAAUUGAGAGAGUGUAUAUUAGAAAAAUGUGUAUAUUUAAGUGUAAGGAUAAGUUCUUUGAACAUUGCUCCAGACCUCAUAUAAGUAACAAACCUUACGAGCUGAAGGUAUUUCCCCGGCUUUGAUCGCAAUUUGCAAAUGUAUGAAAUGUUCGUUUACGAUCGAACUUAGCCCUUCUUUACUCGCGUCCUUAAAUGCACUAUUGCUAGUGCAGCAAUAGAUUUGAGCUAUAGAACCUUGAAACCAAAUUUGAUUUAAAUUAAUGUCUGUAAUCCCAGUCAUGACUUCAAUAAUGCAAGCUCUUUUGAGUAUUUACAAACCUGACUUAAAGAAGUGCAUUUUUUCAAAAUGUUUUAAAGUUAAAAAAUGUAGAAGUCGAAAAAAAAUAUUCAAAAUGCUUUCGAUUAAAUCCUUUAAGUACUUAUGUCAACACUAGAAAUAUACAACAAAAAAAAAAAACGAUUUGUUUAAAUAGCGAAGAAGUCCCCUUUAGUUCAAUGUAUUUUAUAUAAAGAUGUGGUCAGAUAUUGCAAGUAAAAUGCAGUUUCAACUUAUUUUGUUGGCAAAAAUAUACUUGCAUGGAUGAACAACCAAAAAUUCUGAAAAUCUGAAAUUUUGCACAAGUCCCUUUCUUACUUAGCAGCUGCUUAUUUGCCGGAAGUGCUCAUAUCAGAAUUCAAUAUCGUAAAGCCGCCAUACAAACUGACCGAUCCAACUCAAGUCAUUAAAUGUCAAACUUUUUUAUUUGGUAAGAUAUCUGCCCGAAAAUUAGCACAGAAUUUAUCCAAAACAUCACUAUAAUCUUCGAAGAAAUAGCUGUCAUACAAGCUGACGGAUCGAACACAAGUUUUAUUUGGCAAGAUAUCGUCGAGAGAUUUGACAUCUUCGUUACAUAUUGGUCAGAUCGGACCACUACAGCAUAUAGCUGCUAUCUAAACUAACCAAUGAAAACUAUGAUAACGGUCUUUUUAUACACUUUUAUGAUAUAAAAAUGCUUCUGUGAAGGAUAUUAUAGCAUUUUUUGGAUGAAGGGGUGAAAAAUGUCUUCCGCAUCAUCAGAGCUGUCAUCACAGCAACGGUAUGUGCCACUUGCAGGUCAAUAAUCCUGACCAUGUCCGGAUAACAGGUGUGUUGUGUAGAAGUCGCCGGUUUUCCUUUUUUAGCACAUCUUCUCAAAUAUCUGCUUCGUACAGUAAGACGGAAUGUGUUUAUUCGUCAGCAGUAGUAGCUCUGUUUUUUCUGUAGCGAGCUGGUGGUUACGUGAGUCGAGUCAUGUUUUCGUCCGAAUCAUGACCUGAUUCAGCUUUCUUCGGGCUUCCUCUGUGUGUCCGGCUGUGAUUACUGCUGCUAUGUCGUCCGCGUAGCCGAUUAAAUAUGAUUCGUCUGGCAUUUCAACUUUUAAUAUUCCGUCAGUUGCUUUUGAUGCUACUUCUAUUGGUCGUGAUCUCUGAGUCUGGUAUAGCAGUCUUCUGUUACUAAGAUAACUCCGCCCCACUGCAUUGAGGUAAUCGGGAAUUCUAACAUUUUUUUUUAGAGCUACCAUCAUGACCACCCUUGCGCUAUUGAAGGCGUUUCGAAUGUCUAAUGUCGCCAAAAUAAAUAUUCGCUUGUAUUCGGGGUAUUAUAGCUUUGUUGCAGCCGAAGUUAUUGUCUUUUCUUGUUUGGUUGCAAAAUUUCGGCAAAAUUUAUCGCUCUCUGUAAGACCUCAAUACAUAGAUCUUUCGAAUGUAAGCACUCUUAAGUUAAUGACGAAACUUUAAAAUUUUGUUACAGAAAAUAACGGACCGACUCAACUCGACGUAGGCUGCUUUCCAUAUUCGUAGUUUUUAUUUGCGGUAUUACAGAUUUGAAAAAAGUUGUUAUUUUUCAUAGGCGCUGCAAACAAUAUCACCCAAUCAUAUCUAAACAGAUAACUAACUGCAUAGUAAUCUUGUGAUCUCACGCUGCACUUCUAAGGAAUCGAAAGUUUCCUAAAGUGUACUACAAUACCUAAAUAUAUACAUACUCGUACAUAUGUACAUAUACAUAUAUAUUUACAUAUGUGCAUCAACUUAAGACAAUAAAUAGACGUCAUUGAGUAAUUUGGAGUUAAUAAUUCGUAUUUGUUAAAAAUGUGUCCCAACAAAAUAAUAACAAAAACAACAAGACUAUUAAGAGUAUUAUUAUAGGUAUUUAAAUAUAAAGCCAACUUAAUCCAUUGAACGAUUUACAAACAUAAAUUUUGCCAUUCACCUGUAAGUGAAAAUUAUUCAUGCUGUGUGUUCGUAAGGAAUUUUAUUAUUAACCCGUGUAUUUGUAUUUUAUAUUUACUGCAUUCACAUACUCUUGAUGUACGCAUAAAAGCAAAGUCCCAAGGUAAAUAAUAAAUAAUAAUAAUAAUUAAAAAUAAUAAAAAAUAAAAAAAUAAAUAAUAAAUAAUAAAAAAAUAAUGAAUAAAAAAAACAAAUAAUUAAAAAUACAAAAGCAACAAAAAUUAAAUCUUCAUGUAACUUUUAAGUAAUAAAUAUGAAUAUCAAAUAAUUUGAAAAAAUUUUUUUAAAAUUUUAAGUUUUUGCGUAUAAGUACUAAGAAGCGAAACAAAAGCCAAAAACAAAUACAUACCUACUAACUAUAUACAUACACACACCAAAUAUGGGAUACCUUAAUUACAUACAAACAUGCGUAUAUAUUUGUAGAAAAAAUGCCUAUUUAAAUAUAAUUAAUUGUUAUUGAUGUUGCGAAUAAAAAUUUACUCCGCAAACACACACAUAAACACAUGCACACUCUAUAUUAUACACAUACAUAUACAUACAUAUGAAUGUGUCUAAUCGAAUUACAAAUGCGUUAAGGUGUUGAUUGCUUUUAAACAUAAACAAAAUAUAUUCAAUUGUUAGCAUUUUAAUGAAGAUUAAUAUAUAUACUAAACUUAUACAUACAAACAGAAAUUAAUUUAUUUAGCAAUGUUCGAUGAAAUGUUGUUUUGAGUGCUUAGUUCCAUACUUUAGUUGUUGAAAUGUUGAAAUAUUCACACAUAUGUAUAUCUACCUAAUCCUCUCCCAAUUGUAUUUAUAUACAAACAUACAUAGCUACUAGUAUAAAAUGCAAGCACUUAUAUACAUACAAGUACAUAGAAACACGCAUAUACAUAUAUACUACAAAUAAACGAAAGCAAUGCAAUGAGUAACACUAAAUUGUAUUUAUAACUGUAUAAAUAAAAGAGAAUGAGAAAGUGAAAAAUACUAAACUAUAUACUGAAGACAAUAAAAGAAAACGAAACAAUA